UAUGUAGGGGGCAAGCGUUGUCCGGAUUUACUGGGCGUAAAGAGCGCGUAGGCGGAAGCUUAAGUGUGGCCUGAAAGCCCCCGGCUCAACCGGGGAAGGUGGCUGCAAACUGGGCUUCUUGAGGGGGAUAGGGGAAAGUGGAAUUCCGGGUGUAGCGGUGAAAUGCGUAGAGAUCCGGAGGAACACCAGUGGCGAAGGCGGCUUUCUGGGUCCGCCCUGACGCUGAGGCGCGAAAGCGUGGGGAGCGAACGGG
rnacentral:rRNA from 1 species